GCUCACUGCCCCAUCAGUCACACGCAGCGAGAUUCGGGUCGGUGGGAGGGGAAGGCAGUGGAGGAGGUGGAGUGGGAGUGGGAUUAGAGGACGAGGUGACGGAGGAGGAUGUUCAGGCUCGGUCCCCGGUUUGGGAAAGUUUCCCCUACGAACACACAGACCGCGCGAGCUCGCGAUCAGGGGAGGGGGCUCGGGAGUCAGGCAGUCCCUCCCUCCGCCUCCCGGGCCGUGGCCGCAGCCGAGUCCUGUCACUGGGGAAAGGACGGGGCGGAAACUUGCGUCCCGCGCCCCCGGGGAGGGGGCAAAGGUGGACGGAGGGUUCUCCCAGGAGCCGACCCUGGCCGCGGACUCUGUAGCAUCUCCGUCGGCGCAGUCCUCUUAAGAAGACGACCCGGGGAGAGAUAAGCUAUAUAAAAAUUGGAAGAUUCAUUGUGAUUUUUGUAUUAUUACUACUAUCAUGCUUCAUGAUAUAAUGAGAGGUAAUACGAGCUCCAAAGAAUUGAUGCUUUUGAACCGUGGUGUUGGAGAAGACUCUUGAGAGUCCCUUGGACUGCAAGGAGAUCCAACCAGUCCAUCCUAAAGGAGAUCAGUCCUGGGUGUUCAUUGGAAGGACUGAUGCUAAAGCUGAAACUCCAAUAUUUUGGCCACCUCAUGCGAAGAGUUGACUCAUUGGAAAAGACCCUGAUGCUGGGAGGGAUUGGGGGCAGGAGGAGAAGGGGACGACAGAGGAUGAGAUGGCUGGAUGGCAUCACCGACUGGAUGCACAUGAGUUUGAGUGAACUCCAGAAGUUGGUGAUGGACAGGGAGGCCUGGCGUGCUGCGAUUCACGGGGUCGCAAAGAGUCGGACAUGACUGAGCGACUGAGCUGAACUGAACUGAACAUGGUGUGGUACACCAUAUUACACUAUAUUACAGAUGAUGAUUGGAUGGCAUCACUGAUUCAAUGGACAUGAGUUUGAGUAAACUCCAGAGUUGGUGAUGGACAGGAAGGCCUGGUGUGCUGCAAUCCAUGGUGUUGCAAAGAGUUGGGCACGACUGAGCGACUGAACUGAACUGAAUAUAGUGUGGUACGAAUAGCUAUUAAAGAUAGGAAAACAUAUGAACUGGGCUUUGCUUCUUACCAUGUGGAUAAAUAUAUCAGUUUCCUCAUCUGUAUGAUUAUUGGAAGACUCAAACAAAAUGGUAUAAAUAAAUGUGAUUUGUUAACUCUCAA
ensembl:lncRNA